rnacentral:tRNA from 1 species
GCCCCGGUAGCUCAAUUGGAUAGAGCAGGUCCGUCCUAAGGACAAGGUUGGUGGUUCAAUUCCGCCCCGGGGCG